GCUCUGCCUCCGACCUGCGGAGGGAUCACGCGGCAGUGGAGGGCAGAUAAAAAGCCCUUUGGACGAGGGUCGCCUCCGUCCUUGUUGUUCACUUGGGAGCAGUGGAGAGGAAAACGGUCCCCACGGGCGGACUUUGGCUUCUGGAGCCGCGGGGCUCAUCCGUCCAGGCCUCCCGGAGCCUCUGCUGGGUAUAGGGGGAGGGGCAGCGGGGGAGGGGACUGGGAGAAGGGAUCUGGGGACGGGGGGCUGGAAGCGCUAAGGAGACCUGCUGGGAGGAUUUGCGUCAGCAGGUCCAAGAGAGACUUGGGAGCGCUGAGUGCAGGAGGUGGAUCUCGGCCUAGUUUGCUUGCAGAAAUAGAACUGUAUUUCGAGGAAAUCAAUCAAUCUGCAGGAAACAAAAAUGGAAGUCGAGGUUUGGGAAGAGUUGUCACUUCCCCGACUCGAGUGGUGCGGGCCGGGGGCGGAGACUUGGGGCCGCGGAGAGGCCCUUUCUCCCACCUCAGCUCGUUCCCAGGACUUCCAGAAGGGAGAAGUACCCUCCUCACCCCUCUUCUUCCCCACACCCGUCCUCGCUCGCCCGCCGGCCCCUUUCCGCACCUCCUUCUCCCCUCAAGUGAGAAAAGCCUAGUUCCCGAGCCGGUGUACGCGGUUGCCUUACCCCUCCCCGCUCCCACGCGGGUGCCCCCUCCAGCCAUCGCUACUGCCACCACCUCGGUUCCACUCAAUCGAUUUUUGCUGCAUGUCAACACUUAUUCCCGAAAAUGGCCCGCUGAUGAUGUGACCCAGUGUACCAGGACUAAGGCUUGGGGUGGUUUCCUUAGAAUUCCAAGACUCCUUCUACCAAUGCCUCCUCUGACCAGAAGCAGCAAAGUCUUUCUGCCUCCAUCAACAGUUUGCAGCGGCACUGGACCCCCUGCACGCAGUCCUGGGCUGGAUCCUUUAUCCUUGUCCCUCUGGGGAGAUGAGACCAAGAGCCGCUUCCACUGUCCCGGAGAAGACAGUGGAGCAGAUACGGAAUGUGACUUGGAACCCCGGUUAGUGGCAAGCCGGUUCUUGGGCUCUUUCCUCCGUUCUACUACUGUCAACAGCCCCCUCAACUCUGCUUCCCUAGGCGGGUAUCUGGGUGAAGUUCCUGCACAUCGUUCUCGGUCCUCCCGGAUGAACUGUCAGGGCCUUCCCUAAUGUCACUUUACGAGGCCGCCUGCGCUGGGUUGAAGGAGAGUCUCCCCUGACUGACUCGUCCCGCUGCGUGCAGGCGCAGGAGGGGGGAGAGCCGAUGGGGACGACCCUGCAGGCCGUCCUGAGCGCCACAGACGGGGAUUUACCUGCCGAGUCCAAGGCGACAGACAACAGGUCACUUUGUUAGAGAAUAAGAUAAUAUCAAACAAAAGAAAGUAAAAUAAAACCCUUCUUAUGAGGGC
rnacentral:lncRNA from 1 species